UACGUAGGGUGCAAGCGUUGUCCGGAAUUAUUGGGCGUAAAGAGCUCGUAGGCGGUCUGUCGCGUCGGAUGUGAAAAUCCAGGGCUCAACCCUGGACCUGCAUUCGAUACGGGCAGACUAGAGUUCGGUAGGGGAGACUGGAAUUCCUGGUGUAGCGGUGAAAUGCGCAGAUAUCGGGAGGAACACCAAUUGCGAAGGCAGCUCGCUGGGACGUCACUGACGCUGAGACGCGAAAGCGUGGGGAGCAAACAGG
rnacentral:rRNA from 1 species